AACGGCCGUACCAUGCUGAAUAUACCGGUUCUCGUUAGAUCACCGAAGUUAAGCAUUAUUGGGCGCGGUCAGUACUUGGGAGGGUGACCACCUGGGAACACUGCGUGCCGUU
rnacentral:rRNA from 1 species